CAGUCGAACGGACUCAUAUUGAAACCUAGUGAUUUAUGAGUUAGUGGCGGACGGGUGAGUAACGCGUGGAUAACCUGCCGUAUACCGGGGGAUAACACUUAGAAAUAGGUGCUAAUACCGCAUAAGCGCACGGCUCCGCAUGGGGCAGUGUGAAAAACUCCGGUGGUAUACGAUGGAUCCGUGUCUGAUUAGCUAGUUGGCGGGGUAACGGCCCACCAAGGCAGCGAUCAGUAGCCGGCCUGAGAGGGUGGACGGCCACAUUGGGACUGAGACACGGCCCAAACUCCUACGGGAGGCAGCAGUGGGGAAUAUUGCACAAUGGGGGAAACCCUGAUGCAGCGACGCCGCGUGAGUGAAGAAGUAUCUCGGUACGUAAAGCUCUAUCAGCAGGGAAGAAAAUGACGGUACCUGACUAAGAAGCCCCGGCUAACUACGUGCCAGCAGCCGCGGUAAUACGUAGGGGGCAAGCGUUAUCCGGAUUUACUGGGUGUAAAGGGAGCGUAGACGGCAGCACAAGUCUGGAGUGAAAUCCCGGGGCUUAACCCCGGAACUGCUUUGGAAACUGUGCGGCUGGAGUGCAGGAGGGGUAAGCGGAAUUCCUAGUGUAGCGGUGAAAUGCGUAGAUAUUAGGAGGAACACCGGUGGCGAAGGCGGCUUACUGGACUGUAACUGACGUUGAGGCUCGAAAGCGUGGGGAGCAAACAGGAUUAGAUACCCUGGUAGUCCACGCCGUANACGAUGAUUACUAGGUGUCGGGGGANCAAGGUCCUCCGGUGCCGGC
rnacentral:rRNA from 1 species